AUAUAAUAAUGCCCCUUAGCUUCCCUCUUCACCAUUCCCAUCAACCACAACUGCCGUGCUUCUCCGAUCCGUGGUGGCGCCACCGCUUUCUUCCUCCACCGCCCGGCCUUACUUCCUCCCUCCUCACCUCAAUUUGAAGAGUCAUCAUGAGCUGGAAGAAUGAAAGCGCGGCUCCAAAGCUUGAGCUGAAGCUGAACUUGUCGCCGCCGAGGGCCAGCCGUCUUCAGCAGCCGGCGGAGUCGUCGUCGCCGAUGCGGCGGUCACCGACGAGGUCGCCGCCCAGCUCUUGCAUGUCGUCGGAGAGCCAGGACGGCGACGACGGUAGCGCGGAGGAGGCGACGUCGAUGGUGCUGGUGGGGUGUCCGCGCUGCCUCAUGUACGUCAUGCUUGCGGAAGCCAAGCCUAAUAAGUGCCCUAUGUGCCACACUUCCGUUUUGCUUGAUGUCAUCUAUGACCACACCAAGAAUGCCAGGACUUGAUCAACAAUAUAUAUAAUAAUAAUAAUAAUCCUUCAUAUUAGGAAUUUAGGAUCCAGUUUUCUUUCUUUCUUUGUUUAUUUUGAAUUUUUAGGUUUUUUUUUUUUUUUUUUUUUUUGAAAGGUGAAUUUUUAGGUUUUGAUAAGUAGCACCGGUUACUUUUUUGUAUUGAGUACAACAUAACUCUAUAUCAGGUAUACUAUGUCUGGUUGUAUUCGGUACAAACGAUAUGGCCACCUUAAAAUUUUCUUACUUUUAAUUAAUUAUUUUGUCCUUUGUA